rnacentral:rRNA from 1 species
GGGCCCGCACAAGCGGUGGAGCAUGUGGUUCAAUUCGACGCAACGCGCAGAACCUUACCAGGCCUUGACAUCCUCUGAUGGUCCGAGAAAUCGGGCUUUCCCCGCAAGGGGCAGAGAGACAGGUGCUGCAUGGCUGUCGUCAGCUCGUGUCGUGAGAUGUUGGGUUAAGUCCCGCAACGAGCGCAACCCUCGCCUUCAGUUGCCAUCAUUUAGUUGGGCACUCUGAAGGGACUGCCGGUGACAAGCCGGAGGAAGGUGGGGAUGACGUCAAGUCCUCAUGGCCCUUACGGCCUGGGCUACACACGUGCUACAAUGGCGGUGACAGAGGGCAGCAAACCGGCAACGGGGCGCAAAUCUCUAAAAGCCGUCUCAGUUCAGAUUGCACGCUGCAACUCGCGUGCAUGAAGGUGGAAUCGCUAGUAAUCGCAGAACAGCAGGCUGCGGUGAAUACGUUCCCGGGCCUU